CGGCUCUCCUGCAGAGCUACAGCGGUCUGUAUGUCUGCUCACGAGUUUAUGGACUAAUAUCGGGAUAGUUUUACAUCUACACGUUAAAUAUGAGCAUCGGGACGUCAACAGAGAACAGAAGACUUGAGAUCUGAGCACCAGUGGACAGUGAAGACAAUGGAACAGAACAUGUGAUGGCUUUGUGUGGAAAGUUGCUGAAGCCAGCCGGUGACUCCUCAUCAGUCUCUUCAGGCAGCACCCAGCUAUUCUUCCAUCUUGCAGAUGAAAAGACUUUGAUAUCACCUGGACACAGCAGGAACCUACGCCAGGAUCCUGUUUGUGGACUUCAGCUCCGCCUUCAACACCAUCAUCCCGGCUCUGCUGCAGGACAAAUUCAGACCCCUGUUACUGACUAAACACUUGAUCACAAUAUAUUCAC